rnacentral:rRNA from 1 species
UACGUAGGGGGCAAGCGUUGUCCGGAUUUAUUGGGCGUAAAGAGCGUGUAGGCGGCUUCACAGGUCCGCUGUGAAACUCGAGGCUCAACCUCGAGCUGUCGGUGGAAACCGUGUGGCUAGAGUCCGGAAGAGGAGAGUGGAAUUCCCGGUGUAGCGGUGAAAUGCGCAGAUAUCGGGAAGAACACCCGUGGCGAAGGCGGCUCUCUGGGACGGUACUGACGCUGAGACGCGAAAGCGUGGGGAGCCGAACGAGGA